GAUUAGCAUCACAGCAUUUCCAUGGGGUUACUUGCUGGGAUAGUAAUAAGAGCUGUGUUAAGUUGAAAGUGUUACUGUUGCUGCCUUGUAUGGUAAAAUCCUCUGACAAUAAUCCUACAAACCAUAGGAUGAACUGUUGCUAUCUUUUUGAAUAGAAUCCUUAGACAGUAGUGUUGUAAGCAGAAGAAUGAAUUGUUAAUACAUUUUGUUUUUAUUGCUGUAUUGAGUAAUCCAAGUUUUAAAUAUUUUUUAUUAUUUUUACUUGUAUUCGAUUAUUGUUUUGUGAUUGAUGAAAAAUUUAACUGUGAAAUUAUUGUUAUUUGAGGGGUCCCAAAGGUAUAUCAUAUGGUUUCACAAAGUACCCAUAAGACUUACAUCAGUUUACAUAUAUUUUUUAAGUUAUGUAUGUGUUAGUCUUACAACUGCUUUGUGAAAUGAAUUUUGCCUGUUACAAACCAAUAAAGUAGGACUUUGAUGGCCAAACACUAAAGAGAAUAUAAAACAAAUCCCCUGUUAAACACUUAUAGUACUGAGUUUUUGACUCCAAAUAAAAAAAAUUGGCUAUUUGGUUGGGUUUGACUCCACUUUCUGUACAUUUAUGCAAAUAAAUGGCUGUCAGUUUUAUUUAUUGGUUUUGUUUAUAUUUUAUAACUGCAUCAUUCAGCAUCUGAGGCCAUUCAAGUGAAAAUAAUUACACAGUUUUUGUAGUUUGUUUUAUUUUUUCAUUUUUAUGCGAUUGUUUUUUUUAUUUUUCUCAUACAUCAUAAUUUAUAUUUUGAGGAAUUUUUUAAGGUUUGUCUUUUGAGGAUUGUACUCAACUUCUUAAGAAUCAUUUACUCCACCCAAGAUUACUCAGGAACCUGUAAAACUAUUUUUCCCUUGAUUUUGAUGGAUGGCUGUUUAAUGUCCAGUGGCUAAUUAAAGAUAUAGGAUGAGAACAGAUUAAUGUGAUAUGAAUUUAGACCCUACUUUGUACUAGAUCAGCUUGCUGAGCUACAUUUUUCAUGUGCUAGUUCACAAUGUAACAGUCCUUAGGAAGACAUUUCACCCUAUCUGGACACAUCAUUAUGUCUAUGAGCUGAAGAAUCUUUGCUAUUACUCCUAAAUGCAGCAUGAUUUGUAGAGGAGAAUCAAAUACCAAUAUUCAAUUCUUUGGUUUGACCCAGCUUGGGAUCCCUUCUGCCCUCGAGGCUAGCAUGAAAUGGGCUGUUGGAGAAGAUUUGUCUGUCUGUUUGUUCAUCAUCAUCUCUAAUCCACAGCUUAUAUACUAUUGGUAGAUUUUCAUUGAAACUUUCAGAUUAUCUCCGUAACUAAUGGCAGUGUGUAUUUUAUUUUAUCAUAAUAAAAUUUUGGGUUCCCAAUUGAAAAGAAUGGACCUUCUUAAUAUUUUUAUUAACUUGGGAAGCAUCUCAUACAACAAUUUCAUCAUGUGAAGGAAAGGUUGGUUUGAAUUUUUUUUAUUGUUUUUAUUCUGCUUUUAAUCUUGUUUUUAGUAGUUGGAUCUCAUUAUGACAACAUUUUCAUAACAUUAACAAGGAUUCUCAAUAUAUUAUAUUUUAAGACACUAGUAUAUUACCACAGUGGCUUAUGAGUAAAUUUUAUAAGGUUUUGCUAUAACAAGAUUUGUGUUUUAUCUGGUUUUAUAUGAUUUUAGUGGUUUUUAGAUGAUUUUAUAUGUUUUUAUUGUCAAAUCUUGUUUUACCAAGCCUUAAUAUGAUUGAGUUUGUGCCUUUGUGGGGGAAGUUAAUAGAUUUUGCUUUUACAUGCAAUACAAAAUAUUUAUUAACAUAGUGAGAUCUGACAGUUUUUUAUGCUUUUAACUCUUUCUUAAAUUCAAAAAUUUUCUAUUUUAUCCUUUAAGUAUUGAUGCAGUGCUUGAAGAUUGACCAAAUUACAAGAUGUAUGGAUGCAAGUUCAGAAUCUACUCUAACUAAAUCUAUUUCAUAUCAGCUGAACCAGCCUAUCCUUCAAUAUGAGUAAUACAAUGUAGGAAAUGGAAAAAUCCAUUCUUUGAUUGGAGAACCAUUAGAAGAGAAAAAAAUGGUACACAAUGUCAACAGAUGCUGAAGAUUAUUUGAAAGUUGAGGAAAAGUCCAUUUAAUCCUUUAAUUGUGGGUUAAAGUUGUAGAUGAAUGAGCAAACCGAUGAUACAUUUGUUCACUAUAGCACAUUCCCUAAUGUUUAAUCUGACUAUGAAGUAACAAUUGCAUACCGGUUAUCUCCCUCCUUGGGGAAAAAGUACUGGUUCCCUAAAAUGAAAAAAAAAAAAAAAAAAAAAAAUUUGCUUAGAAAUUGGGUGGAAGUAAAGAACUUUAGAUUAUAAAACAGCUUGGGGUUAAAAAUGUGGAGUGAAAGGCAGUUAAAUAUUUCCUUCGUGAUCUAAUCAUUUUUGCACAGAUCAAGAUAUUUAGAUAAUUUUGAUAACCCAGUAAAUAAGUUGAGUAAUUCUCAAAAAAACAAUUUGAUUUAUGUAUUUUUUAAUAUUUUUAUAUUGUAGUUUUACCAUAGUUUUCCUUUGUAUAAGAAUUGUAAUGUUUUUGAAUGUCCUUUUUAAAAGUUGAGACAAACUGAGGAUUCUAUUUUUUAAUGGAAUUCUAUUAUUUAUUUUAUAAGUUUGGCAUUAAGUAAUGGAAAGCCUCAAGUUUAUAUAUAGUAAGCAAAAAAAUAGUCACUUUAAAAAACCAAUGAUAACAAAAUUUCAUACAUGUGUCUCAAAACAACCAUGAUUUUCUAAAACAACCAGUCUUAGAACUGGUUUCCAUGAAAUCAUUAAGAAUCCUCAGUACUGUCAUUUAUUUUGUAUCGUAAUAUUUUGCUAAUGAUACCAAACCCAUGAUGCAGAUCCUUUUCCUCCUUUUUAUUGUAAAGAUAAUGUAAAAAGUGGUCAAAAGCAUAUCACUAGUUACAAUUUGUUUGAUACACAAGUGAUGGAGCAGAUUGUGUUUGGUUUCAUUUUGGGUAUUUUGUAUCAUGAUGCAUGAUGAUAAUAUAAAUAAAAUUGGUAAAUAAAAUUUAUUUGAGAAAA